GACGAACGCUGGCGGCGUGCUUAACACAUGCAAGUCGAACGAAGUGGCGAUCGGGUGCGUAAUACGUGGGUAACCUGCCCUCCUUUUUGGGAUAAGCCUUGGAAACGGGGUCUAAUACCGAAUAAAGGGGGAUGGGCUCGCGGCCUAUCAGCUUGUUGGUGGGGUGAUGGCCUACCAAGGCGGUGACGGGUAGCUGGGCUGAGAGGGCGAACGGGAACAUGGGGACGGGCAAACGGGCCAGGAGCCUACGGGAGGCAGCAGUUGGGGGUAUUGCACAAGGGACGAUAGGCGAAGGCAGCGACGCUGAGUGGGGGAUGAAGGCUGUCGGAUUGAAAUCCUCGGUCGCUAUCGAACGGGUAGGUGGAGAAGAAGCGCCGGCUAACUACGUGCCAGCAGCCGCGGUAAUAC
rnacentral:rRNA from 1 species